UGAGGAAUAUUGCACAAUGGGCGCAAGCCUGAUGCAGCAACGCCGCGUGCGGGACGACGGCCUUCGGGUUGUAAACCGCUUUUCUGAGGGACGAGCGAGGACGGUACCUUAGGAAUAAGUCUCGGCUAACUACGUGCCAGCAGCCGCGGUAAAACGUAGGAGGCGAGCGUUAUCCGGAUUUACUGGGCAUAAAGCGCGCGCAGGUGGCCGUGUAAGUUGGACGUGAAGGCUCCUGGCUUAACUGGGAGAGGUCGUUCGAUACCGCGGGGCUUGAGGUUGGGAGGGGGGUGUGGAAUUCCCGGUGUAGUGGUGGAAUGCGUAGAUAUCGGGAGGAACACCUGAGGCGAAGGCGGCACCCUGGCCCACACCUGACACUGAGGUGCGAAAGCGUGGGGAGUAAACAG
rnacentral:rRNA from 1 species